GGAAAGGCGCGCGAUACAGGGUGACAGCCCCGUACACAAAAAUGCACAUGCUGUGAGCUCGAUGAGUAGGGCGGGACACGUGGUAUCCUGUCUGAAUAUGGGGGGACCAUCCUCCAAGGCUAAAUACUCCUGACUGACCGAUAGUGAACCAGUACCGUGAGGGAAAGGCGAAAAGAACCCCGGCGAGGGGAGUGAAAAAGAACCUGAAACCGUGUACGUACAAGCAGUGGGAGCACGCUUAGGCGUGUGACUGCGUACCUUUUGUAUAAUGGGUCAGCGACUUAUAUUCUGUAGCAAGGUUAACCGAAUAGGGGAGCCGAAGGGAAACCGAGUCUUAACUGGGCGUUAAGUUGCAGGGUAUAGACCCGAAACCCGGUGAUCUAGCCAUGGGCAGGUUGAAGGUUGGGUAACACUAACUGGAGGACCGAACCGACUAAUGUUGAAAAAUUAGCGGAUGACUUGUGGCUGGGGGUGAAAGGCCAAUCAAACCGGGAGAUAGCUGGUUCUCCCCGAAAGCUAUUUAGGUAGCGCCUCGUGAAUUCAUCUCCGGGGGUAGAGCACUGUUUCGGCAAGGGGGUCAUCCCGACUUACCAACCCGAUGCAAACUGCGAAUACCGGAGAAUGUUAUCACGGGAGACACACGGCGGGUGCUAACGUCCGUCGUGAAGAGGGAAACAACCCAGACCGCCAGCUAAGGUCCCAAAGUCAUGGUUAAGUGGGAAACGAUGUGGGAAGGCCCAGACAGCCAGGAUGUUGGCUUAGAAGCAGCCAUCAUUUAAAGAAAGCGUAAUAGCUCACUGGUCGAGUCGGCCUGCGCGGAAGAUGUAACGGGGCUAAACCAUGCACCGAAGCUGCGGCAGCGACGCUGAUGCGUUGUUGGGUAGGGGAGCGUUCUGUAAGCCUGCGAAGGUGUGCUGUGAGGCAUGCUGGAGGUAUCAGA
rnacentral:rRNA from 1 species